rnacentral:rRNA from 1 species
UGGUGGCGAGUGGCGAACGGGUGAGUAAUAUAUCGGAACGUGCCCGGUCGUGGGGGAUAACGUAGCGAAAGCUACGCUAAUACCGCAUACGAUCUACGGAUGAAANCGGGGGAUCGCAAGACCUCGCGCGAUUGGAGCGGCCGAUAUCAGAUUAGGUAGUUGGUGAGGUAAAGGCUCACCAAGCCGACGAUCUGUAGCUGGUCUGAGAGGACGACCAGCCACACUGGGACUGAGACACGGCCCAGACUCCUACGGGAGGCAGCAGUGGGGAAUUUUGGACAAUGGGCGCAAGCCUGAUCCAGCAAUGCCGCGUGCAGGAUGAAGGCCUUCGGGUUGUAAACUGCUUUUGUACGGAACGAAACGGUGAGCUCUAAUACAGUUUGCUAAUGACGGUACCGUAAGAAUAAGCACCGGCUAACUACGUG